GUGCACAAACCACAGAGACACAGCAGGUGACAGUGGAUACAGCUAAAUAUUCAUUCAUCAUUAAUGAAACACACACACUGUUAACAUGGCCUUUUAGCGGCUGGAUUUGCAGUAAUAAAUUAUGAACAAGCAAGGAUUCAAAGAACUCAAUGUGCAGUUUAUUUACAAAAAUCUCAGUGACACAAGUAGAAUAAUGGAAGUAGUUAGCCUUACCAGCAACACAGUUAGAUGGAAACUGUGUCCCUGGUGGACUACUACUACUCAGGUUCUGUUUACAGGUGGAAUUAUUCCAUCAGGAGGAAAUUCCUAAUUUUAACAAAAUAUUUACAAUUGUGUUUUCCUCCUAUUCACCUCCCAACAAACAUAAACCACAAAAACAUAAUUACAACCUAUAUAUUUAAAGUACAAAAUUGCCCAGAACUUCUACCUAUCCUGCAGACUUGGUCCCUCCCGGAACGUUCUUUACCCUGCUCCUACCCCGGGGACUUCUUUGGGCCGAACACCCGGGAGCAGAUACAAGAUCGGACCGGUAAGUGUUUCCAUAACAAUUCCCUUGUAUUGACUACCUUCCUGCACUAUAAUAGACACGUUAUUUAUAUUAAGACACUUUUACCCACAGCAGCUAAAUGUACAGUACACCACAAAGAACUUAAUCGAAUGUUCGUUCGUCAAUUAUGAACAACCGGCAGCCUAACCGAACUCCCCUCUCUUCCAGGUAGAGCCCAGCGCCGGUCAACUGAUAACCGUACUGUGACAUGUUCAAUACAUAUGCCAUGUGGUGUUCCUCCUGCUCAGCACCUUUGACCCCAAGCGCCAUCUUUCAUCUGCAACCACAGCCAGUAGCUUGACUUCUCUGCCUCCUCUGCCAGCUCUUUGAUGGUCCAGCUGCCCACAGAAGCUGGCGACCUUCCUUGCAGCUGUGGACUACAUCACAGCAUCUGGUCUGAGAGCUGUCUUUGUGAUCUCUGGUGGAAAUACUAACUGCUUACCAAGAUCAACCUGCAUCUCUCGCGCCUUUCCGGGGCGACGCAACAUUGACUCUAGGGUCUCUGACUCUCAUUCUCCAGCCUCAAACUCUUGCUCUCUCAUUUCGCAAGCCAGAAAGCAUGCUGCCAAAGCAAUCAUUUUAGUCGGCGUUCUUCUUCCACACGGACCGCUGCUCCUCCAGCUGCUCCAGCCGCUCCUGGUACCACGGCCGCCCCGGGACCAUGCUGUUCCAGCCACGCCGGCACCUGACGUCCUCCUACACAUGCCGGUGAGAUUGCAGUGUAAGAGGUCAACAGCUAUGUGAUGUGCAAAGAGUAAAGUGCCUCUAAAAGACAGAAUGUUGCAGCGAGCUAAUGAUCUUAAAGGAACAUUGUGAUGUAAUGGUAUUAUCAUUAUUUACUGUAUGAUUCAAAGUGAUUCAAAGAAAACAUGUGAUAUAUGUUAAAUGUCACUGUGUGAGAGUAGAUGUUAGUGUUCACUGCAUAUAAUGCAUACUUUGUGUAAUCCAUAUUAAAGUGUGAAAAAGUUACAUCAUUUUUAAAAAAUGAUACAAGAAAGAGUUAAGAAAUAAUAGUGUAAAAUCAAAGAUAACUUUGUUUUUAAAAAAUAUAAUCAGGACAGGCCAGAACAUAAUGGUGUAUAACAGAGAGUGAUCAGGUCAGAUGAGGACAGGGCCAGCUGUGACAUGACCCAGCAAGCGAAACUUGGCAAGAGAAAAGUCCAGGUACAUUCCAGAAGAUGCUGGCAUAGGACUAUGAGUUAAUGGCGUAUUUUAACGAGGGGACCAAGGAUGGACAGUUAGACUAACCAAUGUUUUGAUGGUGUAAAUUUGAUAAACCAAUAAAAUGACCUAAGAGGCGUGGAAAGUCACAGCCGAAACUGUAUAUAAAGAGGGACAAAGCCAGUACAGUUUGAGAGGUCUUCAGGUGUAUCUUGUGUGCACUGUAAACUGUUCUCGAGUUUCUUUGUCGACAAAUAAACUCUGCUGCCUUGGA